AUUGAACGCUGGCGGCAGGCCUAACACAUGCAAGUCGAGCGGAGCGGCGGACGGGGGAGUGAGGCCUAGGUAUCUGCCUGGUAGUGGGGGAUAACGUCCGGAAACGGGAGCUAAUACCGCAUACUAUCAGAUGAGCCUAGGUCGGAUUAGCUAGUUGGUGGGGUAAAGGCCUACCAAGGCGACGAUCCGUAACUGGUCUGAGAGGAUGAUCAGUCACACUGGAACUGAGACACGGUCCAGACUCCUACGGGAGGCAGCAGUGGGGAAUAUUGGACAAUGGGCGAAAGCCUGAUGCAGCCAUGCCGCGUGUGUGAAGAAGGUCUUCGGAUUGUAAAGCACUUUAAGUUGGGAGGCGUUACCAACAGAAUAAGCACCGGCUAACUUCGUGCCAGCAGCCGCGGUAAUUC
rnacentral:rRNA from 1 species